rnacentral:lncRNA from 1 species
AGUUAACGGUCUCUGAGGAAGGGAGUAUCAUUUUCUUCAGUGAUACAGCCCCUGGUAUGUUACUCUUGCUCCAGUAAGUAACCUCCUACCCAAUCUUGUGCAAGAAACCUAAUUAAACUCAGUGGGUCUCACACAAGAAGGAAGGCAUGAAGGUAGGAGGGAGAACUCUUUGGACGAAAUGUUCCAGCAGGAAAGGGAGGAUAAGAAAGGGAAUGGAGAGUACAAAUAACGACAAUUCAUUAGGUAGGUAGGUAGAUAGAUAGAUAGGUAGGUAGGUAGAUAGAUAGAUAGAUAGAUAGAUAGAUAGAUAGAUAGAUAGAUAGAUGAUAGAUAGAUAGGUAGAGGUAGGCAGGUAGAUAGAUAGAUAGAUAGAUAGAUAGAUAGAUAGAUAGAUAGAUAGAUAGAUAGAUAGAUAGAUAGAUAGAUGAUAGAUAGGUAGGCAGGCAGAUAGAUAGAUAGAUAGAUAGAUAGAUAGAUAGAUAGAUAGAUAGAUAGAUAGAUCGAUCUCUUAGAAAGUACUGUCAAAAUUUUAAUGG